GGAAGCCCCAGCUGUGCAAAAUGGAUGCUGACUGCCCACAAUACGCUCCCUACUGCGGAGAGGGCAAAUGCCGCCGGGUGAUAACACACUGCCGAUCCGGCGAAGAGGGCAUGGCUGGAUGCAAGAGGUGCAUCUGCGGCAAGGGCGUCUGGGCCUGCGUGUAUAAGAGCUGUCCGGAACCAUUCAAACAUGAUGGAGCGGUGCCGUGUCAGUGGGA